rnacentral:rRNA from 1 species
CGCGUAGGCGGUCUCUUAAGUCAGAUGUGAAAGCCCGGGGCUUAACCUCGGAAGUGCAUUUGAAACUAAGGGACUUGAGUAUGGGAGAGGGAAGUGGAAUUCCUGGUGUAGCGGUGAAAUGCGUAGAUAUCAGGAGGAACACCGGUGGCGAAGGCGACUUCCUGGACCAAUACUGACGCUGAGGCGCGAAGGCGUGGGGAGCAAACAGGAUUAGAUACCCUGAUAGUCC